GCUCACUUCAGCAGAGCACAUACCAAACUUAGAAUGAUACAGAGAAGAUUAGCAUGGAGCCUGCACAAGGAUGUCAAGUAAAUUUGUGAAGUUUUCCACUUUUUU
ensembl:snRNA U6 U6 spliceosomal RNA